CUCCUGUUCCCGGGGCUUGUUUGAAGGUUGCUGUGGUCAGUGCAGAGGCUGCCCGCGAAGACCUGAGGAUGUUUGGUGUGAGCUCAUCUGGAGGCUUAUUUAGGGACCACCAGCGAGCUGCCCCGUACCACAGGAAUUGGGCUGCGGACACCUUUUGAUAUGGCAAAGGGCCAACAGUGGAGGCUCAAGGUGCACCUGAGAGGAGAGCUGAGGCGCUGCAGCAGGAACAGCCACCAGCACAUCGCUGCGGAUGGGAGGGAGGAAGGGCAGAGGCAGCACAGUGCCCAGCACCCUCAGGGAUUGGGGUGCACCCGGGGUCAUCCUGUGCUCCUUCCCCCAGCGCUGACAUGGGAACGGCCCCAGUGCAGCCACCCACCGCCGCUCACUGUGAUCCAGGGUCCUGAGCUGACCUCGCUCUGCUGCACCCACGCAGGGCAGGGAUGGCUGAAUUACUGCUCCCUGCUGCGCUCUGUACAUCCUCCUCCUGGCCGGGUGGCCUCAGGAUCUGUGGGGCUGGAUGGCUGCGUGCUCUCAGGUCAAACAGUAGCUCCAUUUUUUCCCUUGUGAAGGACCAAGAGCUUGCCUGGUUCCAAGGAAGUAGCUGUGGAUUUUAAUUUAAUUUUAUUUUUUCCCUCCUCCGUUCUUCUUUCUGAAUCUUUUUGGGAUUUUGGGCUCUUAAUGAGGAUGCUUGGACCAGCACAGGGUGCAGCCCCAUGCAGAGGGGUGAACGCCUCUGGAGAAGCAAUGGGAGCAGCACACCAAGAGCUGGCAACCGCAGUGCCUUGGGUCUGAAACUGGGAGCUGUGUCCCUUCACAUCGCAUGGCUGCAUCCUCCCCAGCACAUCCCAUAGGGAUUAGGUGGGAUUCUGGGGGGCGCAAGGCCAAACCGCAGUGAGGGGAACGUCAAGAAAGGGAAAAAUGUCACCCUCAGAAACAAUUAAACUGCUUAAUAAAAUCCGUUGCCUC
rnacentral:lncRNA from 7 species